GUCUACAGCCAUGCCUCUCUGAACAAGCCCGAUCCUGUCUGAUCUCGGAAGUUAAGCAGGGUCGGGCCUUGUUAGUACUUGGAUGGGAGACCACCUAGGAAGACCAGAUGCUGUAGGUG
rnacentral:rRNA from 1 species